rnacentral:lncRNA from 1 species
GUGGGGCUGGCCUGCCUUCUGCAUAUUUGCCUCUGUGCUCAUGCAGAAUCACAGGAUCUCAGAGCUGGGGGUGACCUUAGAGGCCAUUUAGACCAACGUGCGUCUGGACGGGAAGCCCCUCUACAGCAUUCAUGAGAAGGUGUCACAACCUCUGCUGGAGCACCUCCAAGAAUGGCGCGCUCCAUAGCUCCUCAGGCAGCGCAUCGACUGCGGGCCUGUACAAAAAGCAGGACUUCCCGUCAUGCAUUCUGACCUUGGGUAGCAAAGAGCUUUUGCACCUGGCCUGUGGCUCUCGGACCCUGUGCAGUGGACACUGGGAAGCAGACUUGUGAGUUGCUAUGUGAGAGAGGUAGUGAUGAGGGCAGGUUAAGAUUCUGGGACUCGGCAGGCAGGCAGUGUUGGUGAGAAUGUCUCCAACUCGUCUCUACCUGUAGUGCCGAGGACCAGAGGCAAGAGAGCAACCGGUAACAAAAUUGUUGUUCGUCCUUUGUUUUCAGAGGACCAAUCAUAGGCGCAUGAAUUGGAUUGAAGUGAGGCAGAACUACACAAGGUCAUCAGCCUUGCCCUCUUCCUGAGUCACUGAAGUCCAGUGGCAGAACAAAAGUCAAGACAACUGGCCGUGGCUCUGGACACAGGGGAUGACCUUGGACUGAGGUCAUCUGCUUCAGUCACCUUCAUUGCCGGAACCAAUUGUUCUCAUGUGCCCAUCCCAGCGGGGGAAGUCUUCACGUGCUUGGGGUAGACGUUCCCUUACUCAUGACGGGUCUGAGGCCUGUCAGUUCCCCGGGUGUGGCCGCUGCACAAGCUUCUUGGCGUUAGUGCUGCUAAAAUAACCAGGCCAGGAGCAAAAGGAGGGAUAAGAAUGAGAAGGGAGCCUGAGUGCUGGAGAAUGGCAGCCGUCAUAGACUCCAUGAAGCAAAGCGCCAGCGGUGGGGGGAAUAUGUUUCUUCCCCCACACACCCUCUGUGUCUCUGGCUUGUCCUCUUUGGAGCACAGGCGGGGCCUCAAACAUAUCCGCCUGUAUUCUCUCUUCACCAUCUGCUGGUGAGGGCACCUGCAGGCCUUUCCCUAAAUACCCUGAUCUCCCAUCUCCAGAAAGGUAAGUGGAAGGAAUCUGGGAUGGCCAGAGGCAGAGGGCUCCGAAUGGGCUCACCUUACCAAGUUCCCUUUUUUUUUCUUAAUAUUUGGAUACAGUGGAUUGAUUACUUAUGUCUGGUAGCUGAAAAGGUUGUUUGAUAAAGAUGGGAAAUUCCACGUGCAGUAUGGGGACAAGGACAGAGAGCUCUAAUUUUUAAUGACUUGCCCAGGGUCACAUGGCUAGUAAGUGUCUGA